UACUAUACCCUCGAGUGGAUCUAUUAGGAUCCACACUUGAUUCGAGUGCAUCGAGUCAAUUUCUGACUUCAUUGUAUUUAACCAUUUCUCAAAAUCGAUGUCAGACAUCGUCUCAUCAAAGAUAUUCAGAUAAUCUUCAUGAUCCUUAUCUCCCAUAAGAAAUAUUUUUUUUACAUCCUCCGUAAGUAUACCCAUAUACCUUUCAAG
rnacentral:lncRNA from 1 species